GGCAGCCCUCCCCUCCUGCCCCAGGUCCAGCGUCUGGAGACCCUGCUCGCUGGCUCAGCUGGACACCACAGCGCCCUCCAGGCAGCACCGCGGGCUCACCUGGCCAGACAGGAAGGAGAGCUGCCCAGACCUUUCCCUGCUCUUCUUGCCCCCACCUUGACACCAAGCCCUGGUGCUUCAGCUGUUCUCAGACCUGAACAUCCUGCCCAUGUCACCUUGCUGGUCCCAGAUGCCACCCCGUUGCACCUGGACCCUGCGAUCCUGACCUCCCAUCCAGUCAGCCCUCCCCCACAAUGGGCAGCACGACAAUGGCACAUGGUCACACGCCUGGCAAGACCCCCACGUCUUCUCUGCUACCCCCAAAGAACUCCCGUCCAGCUGCCGGACGCACGAGCUCAUGUGGCCUCGCUGUCCCUCUACCAGCAGCACUCUCGUUGUUCCCCUCCCCCUCCUCAUCUAGCUCCCAGCUGACCUGCAGGACCCCAGUCCAACAGCCUGCUCCUGUGUGUCCCAGAUUAGUCAGACGGUUCUGCAACAGGCCUUAUAACCCUUCCUUAUCUCACGCCAUGGCCAACUGGCGGUCAUUUGUUAAGCUUCCGUGUCCCCACCAGAAUGCAAUCUCCUCUG
rnacentral:lncRNA from 1 species